GUAAUUACACUUACCAGGGACCAUUCCAGCAAGUGUAGAGGUGGGGUAGCUGCCCUGCCCAGUGGGGGGAACGUGAGGUCACUCGGCCUUUUAACUUCCUCUAUUACACAGAGUGGCGCUGCUGGCCUGUUUUGACUGAAAUAUAUUAAACAGCUCGACAGAGAGAAGCACAGAAUGCCCUCGGCCUGCUGGUGGCAUCGCUGCUGCUAAAAAAGCCCAGAACAUCACGAGAGUGCAGAGCGCACACUGCCUCCAUAUUCAGUUCUGUAAUUGGAGGUGAUGGCUAGCAAUCCUGCUGGAUGUGCUGGCGCAAACUUUACAGCACGUAGGCCUUCGUCAGUCCUGAAUGGGCCCUCGCGAGGUCCCGCAUCAUUGUUUGAAAGAGGACCAGUGAGGGUUGAGGGGGGAGGGGGUGCUACCCAAUUCUAGUUACUAAUAAGAGAGCUGCCAGUAAGAGUGGCACACUAAGUCAGUAAGCAAUGUGAAAAUCUGUGUUUUAGUGUGAUGUUGUGCUUUUGGUUUAAUUAAUGUGAACAUAGGGCAUAU